rnacentral:rRNA from 1 species
AUUGAACGCUGGCGGCAGGCCUAACACAUGCAAGUCGAGCGAGUGGCGGACGGGUGAGUAAUGUCUGGGAAACUGCCUGAUGGAGGGGGAUAACUACUGGAAACGGUAGCUAAUACCGCAUACCAUCGGAUGUGCCCAGGUGGGAUUAGCUAGUAGGUGGGGUAAUGGCUCACCUAGGCGACGAUCCCUAGCUGGUCUGAGAGGAUGACCAGCCACACUGGAACUGAGACACUGUCCAGACUCCUACGGGAGGCAGCAGUGGGGAAUAUUGCACAAUGGGCGCAAGCCUGAUGCAGCCAUGCCGCGUGUAUGAAGAAGGCCUUCGGGUUGUAAAGCACUUUCAGCGAGGAGGCGUUACUCGCAGAAGAAGCACCGGCUAACUCCGUGCCAGCAGCCGCGGUAAUUC